UUAAAUUGAAGAGUUUGAUCAUGGCUCAGAUUGAACGCUGGCGGCAGGCCUAACACAUGCAAGUCGGACGGUAGCACAGGGGAGCUUGCUCC
rnacentral:rRNA from 1 species